rnacentral:rRNA from 1 species
AUACGUAGGGAGCAAGCGUUAUCCGGAAUUAUUGGGUGUAAAGGGUGCGUAGACGGGAAAACAAGUUAGUUGUGAAAUCCCUCGGCUUAACUGAGGAACUGCAACUAAAACUAUUUUUCUUGAGUACAGGAGAGGAAAGCGGAAUUCCUAGUGUAGCGGUGAAAUGCGUAGAUAUUAGGAGGAACACCAGUGGCGAAGGCGGCUUUCUGGACUGCAACUGACGUUGAGGCACGAAAGUGUGGGGAGCAAACAGGAUUAGAUACCCUGGUAGUCCACACCGUAAACGAUGGAUACUAGGUGUAGGAGAUGAUUUCAUCAUCUGUGCCGAAAGCAAACGCAAUAAGUAUCCCACCUGGGGAGUACGGCCGCAAGGUUGAAACUCAAAGGAAUUGACGGGG